AAGGUUUUAAGUUAAAUUAAACUAAUAUCCUUCAAAGUUAUAAAUAAAGAUAAAUCUUUAAGCCUUA
rnacentral:tRNA from 1 species